rnacentral:rRNA from 1 species
CGUACACUCCUACGGGAGGCAGCAGUGGGGAAUUUUGGACAAUGGGCGAAAGCCUGAUCCAGCCAUGCCGCGUGCAGGAUGAAGGCCUUCGGGUUGUAAACUGCUUUUGUACGGAACGAAACGGCCUUUUCUAAUAAAGAGGGCUAAUGACGGUACCGUAAGAAUAAGCACCGGCUAACUACGUGCCAGCAGCCGCGGUAAUACGUAGGGUGCAAGCGUUAAUCGGAAUUACUGGGCGUAAAGCGUGCGCAGGCGGUUAUGUAAGACAGUUGUGAAAUCCCCGGGCUCAACCUGGGAACUGCAUCUGUGACUGCAUAGCUAGAGUACGGUAGAGGGGGAUGGAAUUCCGCGUGUAGCAGUGAAAUGCGUAGAUAUGCGGAGGAACACCGAUGGCGAAGGCAAUCCCCUGGACCUGUACUGACGCUCAUGCACGAAAGCGUGGGGAGCAAACAGGAUUAGAUACCCCAGUAGUCCCAU